rnacentral:lncRNA from 1 species
CUUCAUCCUCGAUGGUGGUGUUGGUGCUCUCCGACGAUUCCAUUAACUGAACGCUGGAACUGGACUUUCUUUUCUUCACGCCGUCAUUCUUCUUGUUGCCACCGCUUUUGCCUCCUGGAGAGAGGAGGAAGGAGGUGAGCAGAGCCAGGCAGGGCACCAGAACCAGGAGGCCGAGGAUCAGCAGCAUGAUGCCGGGCAGCAGAGCCGUGUGGCAGCUCUCGUC